CAUUUUUAUUUUUAUUUUUUUCCAUUUUUUGAAGCUGUUAUAAUUUUUGAGUUUAUUUUUGCUUGCAAGCUGGCAGAUUUGCUCGCAUAUGUUGGCGUAUGGCCUUACAAUUCUUAGAGGUACAUUCAGGCUUUGACUUCUCAGAGGUACAUUCGAGCUAGCAGAUUUGCCAACUAACAGAUUUUCUCAUGUAUGGUACGAUCUGCUACACUCGACACAUGGCUUCCAGAACAGGUUGCAUUUAUUCAAACAAUGAGAAAUGAGAAGUCAAAUAGCUACUGGGAAGCAGGACUGCCUCCAAAUUACAACAGAAAUCUUUUGGUGGGCUCUAGUUGAUGAAUAGCCUGGAUCCAUCACACGUGCUGCGAAUCACCUUAGCACCCAUCUUCUACGUAACAUCUAUUUGUUUGUGGUCUAAACACCUUGGUCUUAUUGGAUGUCUUUCACUUAGCAAUACCAGAUUUCUUGUGCAUCAACAAAAGCUUUGUGUUUUCCGGAAUUGUGCAUGGUAAAAUGGGAUUUCACAAACUUGUUAGCAUGCCUGACUUGAGCUGACAAAACAGGUUUCUUCUAAUUUAAAAGCAGAGCCGGUCCCGGUGCAGGCUGAUUCAACACAGAAAGUGCAACCUACACCCAAUAUCCCACCUCCAAAGGUUGUCGAAAUCAUUGACUGGUAUGAGACAAUGCAUUCCAGAGAGCUCAAGUGGCAAUAAGCUUGCAUUUAUACAAGACCCGAAAAUGGACAAAACCUACACCAGGACAGUAAUGGUAAGAUUUCCUUGUAAUUAUCAUCAUCUGCUGAUUGUAAAAUUUCCCCCUUUGUCUGGGAUUUAUCUCUCUGCUGAACUGUAACUGCAUUUUAGAGAUGUGUUAAGAUCACUAAAAGUUCUAGGAUUUCAGCUCAGCGAUUGAGCUUUAGAAGAGUGAUUCUUCUAUUAUUUUUUUAGUUGUGUGAUCCUUAUGAAGCUGUUGAACUCCUUAUGGAUGAAAGAUUCUUGUUUGUGUCUUGAUGAUUUCCUGCUGCUUUUCUGGAUAUAUUUGGAUCAGUCUUGACAUGUGAAACAUUUACUUGUUUUUUGAAGUUGUGAACUGGGGUAACUUAAAAAACCUAAAAAGUUGGGAUUUGGGAGCUUAAAAAACUUAAAAGUCAGGACUUGGGAGCUUAUGAAAAUGAUCAAAAAUAAAAUAACAUUUGAUCCCUUCAGUUGAGAUUAGGGCUGAAGUUGGGAAUUUAAGUGGGUCCAGUGUCUCAUUGUUUUCAUGAUUCACCUACCACCACUAUACUAAUUUCAAUGUGAUCUUUAGUCUUUCU